rnacentral:rRNA from 1 species
GAUGAACGCUAGCUACAGGCUUAACACAUGCAAGUCGAGGGGAAACGACAUUGGAAGCUUGCUUCCUUUGGGCGUCGACCGGCGCACGGGUGAGUAACGCGUAUCCAACCUUCCCGCAAGUAAGGGAUAACCCGUAGAAAUGCGGCCUAAUACCUUAUGUUUUCCUUAGAGGGCAUCUGAUGAGGAACAAAGAUCCGUCGCUUGCGGAUGGGGAUGCGUCUGAUUAGUUAGUCGGCGGGGUAACGGCCCACCGAGACGACGAUCAGUAGGGGUUCUGAGAGGAAGGUCCCCCACAUUGGAACUGAGACACGGUCCAAACUCCUACGGGAGGCAGCAGUGAGGAAUAUUGGUCAAUGGACGUAAGUCUGAACCAGCCAAGUAGCGUGCAGGAUGACGGCCCUAUGGGUUGUAAACUGCUUUUAUGCGGGGAUAAAGUUGGGGAACGCGUCCCUUUUUGCAGGUACCGCAUGAAUAAGGACCGGCUAAUCCGUG